UAAAUAGUAGCGGGAACCUUGGUUCCUUGCGACUUCUUAGAGGGACUAACCACGUUUAGUGGUUGGAAGUUUGAGGCAAUAACAGGUCUGUGAUGCCCUUAGAUGUUCUGGGCUGCACGCGCGCUACACUGAUAGAGGCAGCGAGUAUACAACCUUGGCCGGAAGGUCUG
rnacentral:rRNA from 1 species